UUACACACUUCUAGUCCACUUUUUAGUUUAAGAAGUAUACUUUAUAGCAUUUUGGAAAUAUACUGUACUAUUAGUUACUGGUUAUAUACAUGUAGUCCACUUUUUAGUUUUGAAGUAUACUGCAAUUACCCUUCUAGGUAUACUAUUAGGUUUCUAGCCCUAACGUUUACCUCAUGCACACUACUAGUAGACAACUUAAGUGUUUUGUACCUUAAAGGAAAUAUGCAGAACCUUUAUUUUUAAAUACAUUUCUGAGUGGAUAGUAUCUCCAUCCUUGAGUCUUGUAUGCUGCAUAAAUGGGAAUAAAAAAAUAUAUUUUUGAGAGUUAAAACUGACCACAAAGUUGGCAUUCGAGCUGCUCCGCUGAGCCAGCCAUGCCUGAGUGCGUGAUGUCACUGUGGUAACCGGUUUUAAGGCCGAGGCCUUUGACAGUUAUAGACCAAAGCCAGACUCGGCAGGCGAGAGUGGUUGCAAUGGCCUCUUCAUUUGGAUUUAUUGGCGAUUCUUCGGAUUCCUCAGAUAGUAAUCCAUCUGACUGUGAUAGUCCUGAAAUUGGAGUGUGUGCACGCUACUGCAAUACAUGUAGAACCGUAUCAGUUCGAACCAUCAGAAAGUGAAUCCGAUAGUAACACGUUGGCCACAGAGGCCCCCACCUUAAGAAAUAAAGCCAGAGAACAAAGCCAUCUAGAGAAUUGGAUGGAAUUGAACUGACAGUCCCAUGUAACUCUCAUUAAAACAGGAUGGGUGUUAUAACUUAUGCAACAUACAUGUACAUGCAUGCAUUUUUACUGAUAAAAUGUAAAAAGCUAAUUAAAUAAUCAGAUGAACUGAGACAAUCACAUUCUGAAGCAAAUUAAAUAAUCUUAUACCAGUAACUUAAACACACAAUACAAGUUACAUGUAUUAAUCUAAAUGCAGGUAAACAACGAGUGUUGUUGUUUUUGUUGCGAUGUAACCAAAUGAGAGUCGCAUCUUACCCGUCUGUGUUCUCGCUUCUUGAAGGCCGAUCUUGUGGCCGAUUGUUUUGAAACAAUCUGACGUUCAGUUCUUUGUUCAUUCACUUCUUUCACAUAAGGGUGAGAUAUUGCUGCUGAGGCAAGCAUAUCUAGCGGAGAAAUCUGAUGACUGGUCCACUCAUUUUCCAUUUUCUCCAUACUGAGUACUCCGCCAUUACUGCUCGGCUCACACUCCGGGAGAACUGGUGCAACUGAUCUUGCUUUCCUUUUCUUGUAGUUUUAUUUUCCUUUAAUUGUUGGUACUGCACCCUCUUUCAAAACAGGCUUAUAGCCAAUGCUCCUCAACAGAUCAGAGGUUUUGUACAAGUCUUCAGUAAAAUGUGCCCAUGAAUUUCUCGCAAAACGUGUCCAAAUCUUUGCAGUUUGAACAUUCUUGGGCCAUGAAUGGAACAUAAAUCCACCUUCUGUCAUGUUGCUGCACCCGCCAAAAACAUAUCUGCGUGGCAUGGCAACAAAUUAGCUCAAAAUAGAGGAUCGGCGUUGCAGUCAGCUCUGUGUUUUAGUAUAGUGGAAAUGGUGAUGAGACUGAUAGACUUCCUGCUGUGACGUUACGGACAUCAAGGUCAUUCACUCAGACCGCUACCUAUAUGAAUCAUUUUAAUCGUAAAAAUUACUAUAUUAGUGUGAUGGGUGGGAGUGGGAGAAGCCUUCAAGCCAUGUAAUUAGCCACACCUAAUCAGGAACAUGGGUAGAAACGGAGUUUAGCGAGUCACCUGACAUUCAAUUGUCUCACGUGAGGAGGAAAUGCAGGUAGAUUAGUUUAGCCUGUAACACGGGCCCAUUGAUUGUCUGAAACCUAACAGUGCAGCAGUGGUGAGAGCACUGUUGGCAUGCAGCGUUUGCCAGCGGUGAUAUAACGUAGAGCGGUAUUUAAGCAAGUCCGGCUGUUUUCCUGGCUUGUGAUAGCAGUCUCUAACAGCACAGCACCAAAGUUCCUUGACCCACGCGACGUCUAAGUGGAAAAGGAUAGUCUACUGGUAUGCGUAGUGGGGAUUAUAAGAAGUUAAUCGUGCCAAAGACUGUUCCUGCCUGUAUGGUAUGAUGCCAGCGUAACAGUAACAGGAGCCUAUUGUAGUCACUGUUUUUCCCAUUGUAAGGUUUACUUUAAAAGCUAAUGUGGGUCUGUUUAAUGCCCUGUAGGGUAGUCUAAUCGCCAUCAGCAUAAGACCCACAGUGAAAUGCCUUGUUAUAGUGUGUUGUAAGCGUGUGUAAAACCACCUCCACUUUUGUUUAGUUUAUUUGUUUAUUUCCUUAUUUUGUAUAUUUAUCCGGCGAGGUCUAUUCCCUUUUCCCACUUUUGUCAGCCGGGGCAGGGAAGCACAAGAGGUUGUGAGGGCUUAUUCUUAGCUUAUGCCAUUCGGCCUUGGCAAGUGUGCUGGUCAUACAAGCCUGUGUGGUGUGGUGCUACGAAGUUCUAUAUGUGUGUAGUGAACUAGCAUAAUAUCCCUGCCACUUGGGCUUGGUGCAUACGCUGGUCGUACCAGCCUGGGUGGUGGGUGAGUUUGUUGAUAUACUGUGACUGUGACCCUCGGGAUGAGUGUAGUGGAUUUAAACUGACGAUAGCACUGACGUGAUAUAGUAUACUUGUUGUCUGAGUGUGGUGCAUAGUUACCUUAGUCAUAGUGCUUAGUGGUGUAGUACAUUUGCUGCCUGAGUGUGGUGUAUUGCUGAGCUGAAUAUAGUAGUUUAGCAGUGUAGUGUAAGAUCUUGCUGCGCCCCUGUGGGCUUUCUUUUCCGGCUGGCUCUUUUUGUCUUUUUCCCCCUCGCCCCUUAUAGCUUAUUGUGUGUGCCCUUGUUAGGGGUGAUUUUUUUUUUAUUUGUAUAUUUGAAUGAUUUGUUUGUUUUAUAAGGCAAUUCAUACUAAUAGUGGGGCUUUGGCCCGUUGCAGUGUUUUUGAUAACAUCCUGUGGCUCAUUGCUUAACUAAAAAAAGAUAUCAAUUAUUAAAGUGUUUUAAAGUGCUUCGCUGCACUCCUUGCCUCUUUUAAUGCAAAUACAUCUCUUCUUUUAAUGCAGUACAUUUUAGAGAAGGCACACAUUCUUGUCAUAUACAGUCAUAUAUAGGAUAGGUAGGGCGUGUUGUGCGGAGGCUAUGGGGGGCUGGUGUCGGUGCAUGGGGCGUCGGUGCAUGGGGCGUCGGGGCCCGGAGCCCUGCCUCAUGCAGUACCUCCCCCUCCCCUCUGUCGUCCCAUCAUGAAUCAGCUUGGGCAGGGGGGGUUGGCACCAUAGCCAUAACAGGUGCUCAGGUAGUCAUCAUAAUUAACUAUUAAAUAACUAUUAUUUUUAGAAUUUCUAUCUAUAAAAAAUUUGCUAACACAAAUGAUUAGCAAAUAAAAUAAUACUCCCCCUCCCCCUCUCUCCUUCAUUAUGAUCCAGUUUCCUUCUCCCUGGCCCGACACAGACCAGCACUGCUUAUACACACACACACACACACACACACACACACACGUGCUUACUUUCACAUAUCCCGCUCCCCCCCAACAUAUACACACUGUCCCUCCACCCAUAAUUCAAGGCCCAAAACCCCUCCAAAUCUCCCCCACCUACCCUCCUCUAUCUCAUAUGCACAUUCAUUACCCCUAAUCAACCCCACCCAUCCUCCUCUAUACAGCAAUAUAGCUCUUGUUUAUCUUUGUCGAAUUUGUCUUCAUGUGUUCUGUUACAUCUCUGUUAACAUAUUAGUAGUAUUGUCCAGCCUUUGAAAUUGUUGUUAGUUACGUCAGUGCUUCUGUUGUAUGUCAUGUGUAUGUAUUGAUUUGUUUCAUUCUGUCCUUUUUACUUUGUAUUUGUUUGUAUUUGGUAGCAAAUAAAAAAAAAAAAAAAGUGUUUUAUUUUUGUACACAGCCUCUUGCUUUAUUCAUUCAGUUGAAUAGCCAUAGUGGGGGAAUAGUGAGUCUUUGUACUCAUUGGUUCAAUUGAUUCUGACCUAGGAUAAACGUAAGGUUGUUCAGGUUACAUUUUGGCGUAGCCAGCAGGAUCAAGAGGUUGUGUAUAAAUUUGCUUAGUUGUCUUUUUGUUUCUUUUUCUUUUUGCUUUAUCAUCAAACUUAUUUUUAUUAUUUUUGGAGGUGGUCAGUUAGGCAUUUAGUAAAAGGGAAAAACAGUAGUUACAGAGAAGAACAAUCAGCACUCACCGGGUUUGGAGUUGGCUUCGAUCCAGUCAUUAUGUCCUCUGAAGAGACCCUUGAAGACCAGGUUAGGGCAUUGACUGAGAUGGUGAGUCAGCUUAAAGCUGAUAAUCAGUGUCUUAGGGGUGUGGAAGGGUCUUCAACCUCAUCCGACUCUCCCCAGGUCCCAUCCAGUAAUGUAGUUGACGCAACUCCAGUUGAGCGCCUUGUAUGUGUACCACGUGAAAGGAAAUGCCCAAGAUUUUCUGGGAAAAUGUCUGUUGAUAAUAUGUCUGUACAGGACUGGAUUGAGGAGGCUAGCAGAUCAUUAGAAGCACAUCCUAGGCUUAAAUUUGAACAGGUUUUGUUUGUGUAUGACUUGUUAGAUGGAGAGGCUAAGCGCGAAAUCAAGUUUAGUUCAGCUGCAGAUCGAAAUGACCCCCAGAAAAUUUUUGAGAUCUUAAAAAAGAA